GACGAACGCUGGCGGCGUGCUUAACACAUGCAAGUCGAACGGAAAGGCCCUGCUUUUGUGGGGUGCUCGAGUGGCGAACGGGUGAGUAACACGUGAGUAACCUGCCCUUGACUUUGGGAUAACUUCAGGAAACUGGGGCUAAUACCGGAUAGGAGCUCCUGCUGCAUGGUGGGGGUUGGAAAGUUUCGGCGGUUGGGGAUGGACUCGCGGCUUAUCAGCUUGUUGGUGGGGUAGUGGCUUACCAAGGCUUUGACGGAUAGCCGGCCUGAGAGGGUGACCGGCCACAUUGGGACUGAGAUACGGCCCAGACUCCUACGGGAGGCAGAAGUGGGGAAUAUUGCACAAUGGGCGGAAGCCUGAUGCAGCAACGCCGCGUGCGGGAUGACGGCCUUCGGGUUGUAAACCGCUUUCGCCUGUGACGAAGCGUGAGUGACGGUAAUGGGUAAAGAAGCACCGGCUAACUACGUG
rnacentral:rRNA from 1 species